GAGAGUGUGAUUCAGUGGUAGGAGGCCCCUCUCCUAGCUGCGAGGUCGUGCGUUCGACUCUCUCUCUCUCU